GAUAAACGCUGGCGGCGUGCCUAAUACAUGCAAGUCGAGCGAACGGACGAGAAGCUUGCUUCUCUGAUGUUAGCGGCGGACGGGUGAGUAACACGUGGAUAACCUACCUAUAAGACUGGGAUAACUUCGGGAAACCGGAGCUAAUACCGGAUAAUAUUUUGAACCGCAUGGUUCAAAAGUGAAAGACGGUCUUGCUGUCACUUAUAGAUGGAUCCGCGCUGCAUUAGCUAGUUGGUAAGGUAACGGCUUACCAAGGCAACGAUGCAUAGCCGACCUGAGAGGGUGAUCGGCCACACUGGAACUGAGACACGGUCCAGACUCCUACGGGAGGCAGCAGUAGGGAAUCUUCCGCAAUGGGCGAAAGCCUGACGGAGCAACGCCGCGUGAGUGAUGAAGGUCUUCGGAUCGUAAAACUCUGUUAUUAGGGAAGAACAUAUGUGUAAGUAACUGUGCACAUCUUGACGGUACCUAAUCAGAAAGCCACGGCUAACUACGUGCCAGCAGCCGCGGUAAUACGUAGGUGGCAAGCGUUAUCCGGAAUUAUUGGGCGUAAAGCGCGCGUAGGCGGUUUUUUAAGUCUGAUGUGAAAGCCCACGGCUCAACCGUGGAGGGUCAUUGGAAACUGGAAAACUUGAGUGCAGAAGAGGAAAGUGGAAUUCCAUGUGUAGCGGUGAAAUGCGCAGAGAUAUGGAGGAACACCAGUGGCGAAGGCGACUUUCUGGUCUGUAACUGACGCUGAUGUGCGAAAGCGUGGGGAUCAAACAGGAUUAGAUACCCUGGUAGUCCACGCCGUAAACGAUGAGUGCUAAGUGUUAGGGGGUUUCCGCCCCUCAGUGCUGCAGCUAACGCAUUAAGCACUCCGCCUGGGGAGUACGACCGCAAGGUUGAAACUCAAAGGAAUUGACGGGGACCCGCACAAGCGGUGGAGCAUGUGGUUUAAUUCGAAGCAGCGCGAAGAACCUUACCAAAUCUUGACAUCCUUUGACAACUCUAGAGAUAGAGCCUUCCCCUUCGGGGGACAAAGUGACAGGUGGUGCAUGGUUGUCGUCAGCUCGUGUCGUGAGAUGUUGGGUUAAGUCCCGCAACGAGCGCAACCCUUAAGCUUAGUUGCCAUCAUUAAGUUGGGCACUCUAAGUUGACUGCCGGUGACAAACCGGAGGAAGGUGGGGAUGACGUCAAAUCAUCAUGCCCCUUAUGAUUUGGGCUACACACGUGCUACAAUGGACAAUACAAAGGGCAGCGAAACCGCGAGGUCAAGCAAAUCCCAUAAAGUUGUUCUCAGUUCGGAUUGUAGUCUGCAACUCGACUACAUGAAGCUGGAAUCGCUAGUAAUCGUAGAUCAGCAUGCUACGGUGAAUACGUUCCCGGGUCU
rnacentral:rRNA from 1 species